UCCACCGGCCAGGCCCGCCUGGCUCUCCUCCUUCCUCCCUCCGGCUCCUUUCCCUCCCCUCCAGCCUGGACUCCCCCUGGCUUCUCUUCCCCUCUGGCUAGGACCCCCCCACCAGGCUCCUUCCUCCCUGUGGCCGGAAACACCCCCAGCCGCCCCCACCCUCACCUGGACCCGUGCGCCCCCCCCCCCACUUGUCAUCAUGAGCCAGCUGCAGCGUGGGGCUAGGGUGGGGUGUAGUGGUCGGGUCUGGCCCAGGUGUGGAUGUGGUUUGUGGGUGUCGCUGCGUUAUUAGCGUGUGGCUGCCCCAGCCCGGGUGACGAACUACGCGGGUGUGAGGCGUGUAGCGUAGACGGGCCCUAAGGCACCUUUAUCCCAAUAUUACUGUGUUCACGCUAGGGGCUGUAUUGGUAUCAGUAUCAGUAGAUCAGUAAAAAUCACCUCCCUAACCAACAUAGUCGUAUUGGUACCAAAUCUGUGUGUUGAGCAGGCCUCACUGCAUUACCCCUCACCACCUACCACACUGCAAAGUGAUGAAAACGCCAAGCCAGGUCCACACUAGGACAUUUUGUUGGCAGAGCUAUGUCGGUCAGGGGUGUGAAAAAAACACAUCCCUCCAGCCAACAUUGCUAGGCCCCCAGUGUAGACACAGCUAUGCCGACAGAAGAGAGCUUCUGUGGGCAGAGUUAACAUCAUUCGGGGUGGUGGUGAUGUUAUACCAUCACAAGAACCCCCUCUGUGGGCACAGGCUGUGUCUACACUAGGUGACUCUACCUGUAUAGGUGUACUGCUAUAGCUGUAGCAGAAGAGCAUGUGUAGUGUAAACUAGCCCCCAGUCUUUAAAUCUAUCCUUUUCUGUUUCAGGUGGCUGGUUUCCAGGCCAGGCAUCCAUUUCCUCUUACAGAUCAGUAUCUUUCCUUGCUGAAGGAGUCAAAAUCAGAAUGGAGGUGCUUGGGCUUGAUUGCUGGUGGUUCCACAUGUUACUGAGCCAUGAAGCUUGUGUGGGGAGGUUCAGCCACAGGCAGUUGGACAGCGAUCGCCUGCCAGCAGCUCUGCGAUAAGGGUGUCGUGUGAACUGAUGUGCUAAGUGGGGAAAUCAUCCACUGGGAAACCCAGCUAUAGGACCAAGGCAUUGCCUCUCCAGCAACUUGACAGCAUGUCUUGGCUCAGAAUUCUCAUCCGGCUGGGCAUGUCCACUGAAUCUGAUGACUUCAGAGUUGCUCUAGCACAGGGGAUCCAGGAUUUGGCUUCUAGUCUUUAAGGGACAUGCAUUAUUUUGCUAAUUUGAUGCACCUGGACUACAAGUCAGCAUUCGUCUCUUAUGAAAUCAAAUCCAACAGGAGAUUAUUUUCCGGGUGGAAGAUAUUGGAUCCAUCAAACCCUCCCCGUCCCCCGAUCUCUGACCACUUUGUGGCAGACCCAUCACACCUAGCUCCUGAGUUCAGGUAAAGAAUUCCCAGAUAAAACGCUUGCUGCUCCCAGAUGCUGAUGACCUGGUCAUUCUAACACCUAUGCAAGUGGUUUCCAAAGGAAUUUAUGCCUAUUAAAAACAUGCUUCAGGGCAUGGGCUUAACAUGUCAACUUGGAUAAAAACAAGAAUCAUGGUAUUUCAGAAAAAGCCCCAAACAAGCUAACAUUUGUCACAGAGUUAUCAAAAUGGAACAUACUCCAAAUUAUAUGUAGCAGAGUCUCGUAAUGAAUGCACUCUGGCCCAGGCUGCAGGCUGGAGAUCAGACCAGUUCACUUAUGUGGUGGGGUUGCUCAAAACAGGUAUCAGUCGUAUAAGAAGGUAUUUAGAGUGCAGAGUCUGUGAAAUGCUUGCAAGUUGCUGCGUGGAUUAAUCUCACGUGUAAUGUCUGUAUUCCAUGCUACCCGGCAUUAUGUAAAGUUUGCUUUAUAACUUUGAAAAUGUUUGCUCUAAACUUGUGAACUCAGAUGGGAAGAGUGUUUCCCCCUGCCCGGCCAGGAGGACUAUCAAAAUCAGAUUGGCCAUCAAGGAACAUCGCACUACAAAGGAUUGGUUAUUGGCCCUAUUGCACCUUGGAAAUGCUACCUGCAAGGAAGUUUGUUCUUGGGACUUGGAAGCUGAAUGAAGGAAAUAAAAGACACAGGAAAAUUUUCCACCUCUUUGCUGUUUGAACUGUCCCAGGGCCAGAGACACCAAACUGAAGCCAGCGAUCUCCAGUGGUUACCUUCUGGGUCUGUCCUGAACGACACUUAGAAUUGACAGAUCACUACAACUCUGUCACUCUUAGGAUUCAGAUUGAAAUUCAUUUGUGUGUAUAUGUUUGCUUGCUUUAACCUGUAAAUAACUCUCCCGUCUUUUCCCUAGUUUAUUACAGGAUGGGCUACAGGCGUUGUCUUUGGUGUGAGAUCUAAGGUACAAAUUGAUCUGGGGUAAAUGACUGGUCUCUUGGGUCUGGAAACAACCUGAAUAUUGUACAACUUUUGGUGUGUGUCACCAUGUAUUAUUCAGUCCAGCUUGCCUGGGUGGUAGGACAGACUGGAGAGUCUCAGGGCAUGUCUACACAGCAAUGAAAGCCUGGCUCAAGCCUAACCCACCUUGUGUCCACACACCAAUUGUGCUAACCUAGGGAUUGGACAUAGGGUCCCAGGACCCUGCAGGGCUGCCGGUCUGAACCCAUGUUAAGCUGGGACGUGGGGUCCAAGCCCUAUUGCUUUUCUGUGUGCACAUGGCCCCAGCUUGAUUCUGGUCCCAGAAGUCUCUGGAUGUAUCCCAGAGUUUUUGACGACAAAGGAGCAGCACUGAAGGCAACGGCUGGAGGUGCCAUUACUGCCUAGCUGAGAGCGCUUCCUGUUUCUGUUCCUGUUCCUCCUGCGGCGCCGGCAGCUCCUGCUCCGGCUCUUCCUCACUGCUGCGUGGAGCUUGCCCAGAGCAGGGAGCAAAGCUGACAGGUGGGAGAAGGUGGGAGCCCACUCCCCCCCCAAGCCCUGGGGUGCAUGUCACUGCUCCACGGCCGGCAGCAGCCCGGCAGAGAUGUGUGUGUUCAUAUGAGGGUCUUGACACAAAAGGCCUUGAGAAAUUAUGCACAAAUAGGGGAAUAGUCCAUCAAAAAGAAAGCCUUAAAUCAAGAACCGAGAGCUUUGCUCACAGACGUUGCCCCAGGAACAGGGUCUGAGCACCCAAUGCCACAGACACCUCUGCAGCGGAACCGGUUCGGCUGACGCUCCGGAUAGCCCAGGAAGAAUGUGAGCCCCAGAUACUGAUCGUGGAAGUCCAGUUGAAGGAGAAGAAGGAAAACGAGACAGCCUACCAGAGACGCAAAGCCAAGGCUGAAAUUGAGGCCGAAGCUCUCCGCAGAUGCAUGGAACAUCUAGUAGCUGAGGAGAGAACUCACCCAUUGCAGCUCAGAGUACUGGAGCAGCAAAAGCAGCAGCCCUAGCCACUGAGUCCAACUCCCCAAGGCACCAGGGAGUUUAGCAAGAGACUGACUGCAUAGAAAUGUUUCUGUCCACCUUUGAAGGCCUGUGUAGGAUCCAUAAGAUUCCAGAGGAGAAGUGGAUGUCUAGCCUCCUGACCAGAUUAACUGGGAACGUGAGACAAGUUUUUAAUGUUAUGGAGGAGGGUGAUGCCAAGCUCCACAAGGUAUCCUGGAAGACACAACCUGCUGCACUGGCGUCACUAAGGGACCCAUUCGUUUUGCUAACCUGAGGAGUU